ACUCACUGUAGGCGCUGUUCUCCAGGCUGCCGUUGACGCGGCCGCUCGGGUGCAGCUGGAGGUGGUACUUCGUGGCGCAGUAGAGCUUGCGGCGCCGGGGCGCCCCGCCAAGGUGCUCGUAGACGCCGCCACGGCCGCCCGCAUCGCGCCGCAACCGCGCCCCAGGGCCCGCUGCGGGCCAGCCGGGCUCCAGCAGGCUGAGCAGUAGCAGCCAGAUUAGGCCCAUCGUGGCAUCGCGCCCGCCCCGCGGCGGCGGCGGCUGCAGGCGAGCGCGGCGCCCAUGGAAGGGGCGGCAGCCGGACAGCUGCGAGGUGCUCGGAGCGGGAUCCCGCGCCUGGAGAUGCUGACUCCGGCUUCGCGGGAAAGAGUCUAUAAAGAAAUAUGCACAAGCAGCAUCAUUCAGCAGGAUUUCAGACCAGAAAGAACCCUCCCGUCAGAGACUGGUGGCCAUACAAGGGUGCGCUGUGAAGCUUUCGAGACAGCAGACAGCCGGAGUCGUGAUCAGGGUGGCCAGGAAGGGAAACAACACGGUAGCAACCAGAGUGCCCUCCCAUGUGGAUUCCUUUGGUGACGAAUAAGCCAGUUGGUGUGCAGGGUGUUCACUGCAAGGCCCAGACAGGACUACAAGAGACCAGGACUGUCCUCAGUAUGUGAUCUCUCUCUCCUCUGGCGUCAGCUCUACCCAGGAACGGAUGUGAAGGCUGAAGCCCAGGCAAGGGCUCAUAGUGUGGGGACCGUGCAGCUGGAUUCAUGUCCAGUGGAAUUUGACACCAUGGCCGUCAUCAUCAUGUUUUGCCGUCAUCAGCACAGACCUCUGAGCAGAAAUGCCAGAACAAUGUGGGGCCACCCUGGAGAUUUAUUUUAUUUAUUUUUUAAAUUAAAUUAAAAUUGUUUUUAAGAGACGGGGUCUUGCUAUGUUGCACAGGUUGAUCUUGAACUUCUGGGCUCAAGCAAUCCUCCUGUCUUGGCCUCAGAGUGUUGGGAUUACAGACCUAAGCCACCGCGCCCGGCCUGGAGAUGUAUUUUAAACUGACAUCUUGGGAGAAAUAAAAGCCUUCCUUUUCCCUGUG